rnacentral:rRNA from 1 species
GACGAACGCUGGCGGCGUGCUUAACACAUGCAAGUCGAACGAAGAGCGAUGGAAGCUUGCUUCUAUCAAUCUUAGUGGCGAACGGGUGAGUAACGCGUAAUCAACCUGCCCUUCAGAGGGGGACAACAGUUGGAAACGACUGCUAAUACCGCAUACGAUCUAAUCUCGGCAUCGAGGAUAGAUUAAAGGUGGCCUCUACAUGUAAGCUAUCACUGAAGGAGGGGAUUGCGUCUGAUUAGCUAGUUGGCGGGGUAACGGCCCACCAAGGCGAUGAUCAGUAGCAGGUAGGAGAGGAUGAACGGCCACACUGGGACGGAGACACGGCCCAGACUCCUACGGGAGGCAGCAGUGGGGAAUCUUGCGAAAGGGACGAAAGACUGACGGAGCAACGCCGCGUGAGGGAUGACGGCCUUCGGGUUGUAAAGCUCGGUUAAUCGGGACGAAAGGCCUUCUUGCGAAUAGGGAGAAGGAUUGACGGUACCGGAAUAGAAAGCCACGGCUAACUACGUG